GCCGCCCCUAGAGGCGUUGCAGGUGUGGCUGCUGUGUCACGUGUGUCAGUAGGUGGAUGAGAGGGAGAGGCUAUGUCUAUGCUCAGUGUUCUGACCUAUGGACAUCUGAAUGAUUAGUAGCCUAAUCAU
ensembl:snoRNA LOC120097988 small nucleolar RNA SNORA17